UGGGGAAUAUUGGACAAUGGGGGCAACCCUGAUCCAGCAAUGCCGCGUGUGUGAAGAAGGUCUUCGGAUUGUAAAGCACUUUCGACGGGGACGAUGAUGACGGUACCCGUAGAAGAAGCCCCGGCUAACUUCGUGCUAG
rnacentral:rRNA from 1 species